UUUUUUUCCUAUUCUUAGACACCAUGAUCACGAAGGUGGUUUUCUCAGGGCGAGACUUAUCUAUUACACUCCAGAUGUGCUGACCCCUGCGAUUUCCCCAAAUGUGGGAAACUCAACUGCAUUAAUUUGUGGUAGUGGGGGACUGCGUUCGUGGUCUCCCCUG
ensembl:snRNA U1 U1 spliceosomal RNA